rnacentral:lncRNA from 1 species
AAUAUAGUUAACUGUAAGUGCUGUAUUUUAAUAAUCUGUCAAAAAUCAAAAUCAUCAGGAUAAUAUUAGGUAUUGAUUUUCUAACAAGAAUUAGAUUAUAGUGAUGGUCAACAGCAUUUAGAUAUUGCUUUGAAAUCUACAGAUAAGGUAUGGCAGUUUCGUUUUAAAGAACAAGAUGUUAAAGUUUAUGAUAAAAUUGUCAUCAGAAAUACUGUCCACUUUAGUAUUUACAUAGGAAAAUAUUGGAGGAUGAAGCUCUACCUACUGCCUCAGGUUAAUUUAAAUUCUGAAUUGCAACAACAGCAACAAGCAAGAAGGGCACCAUUAAAUGAAUAUUAUACACAUAAAGCAACAACAGAAUAAAAAACCAAAAUAUGAACACCAGCAACUAAAACAGGAACCAUUAAAUGAAUAUUAUACCCAGCAAUAACAGCAUCAAAUAAUGGAAAUAAUGGACCUUAUUGCACAAAUCAAAAACAAAAUUUCAGCAUUACUACUUUAUUGGUUAUAUCAAUAAAAGAAAUUGAGUUUAUCAGUCUAGAUCCUACAAGCAAGCAGAUCUAUCACAUAAUUUUUAAAUGAAGAUUUAUCUAUCAUAGUAAUUUAUUCUAAUAACGAAAAAAAAACUUUGGAUCAAAAAAUAUUUUCUUCUGAUGAGGUUUAUGAAUAUUAAAGUCUGUUGAAGUUUGGCCAUUAUGUGUUGGUAUACAAUUUAUUUAUGAUGUUACAGUAGUUAAACCAUCCGAGUACGAAACAUGUUUAAAAUCCACUAUUCUUAAUGAAUGGAAACUACCAACUUGAGAGGAAGCUAAGAGAAAGGUUCUAUUGGGUGGACUA